rnacentral:rRNA from 1 species
CCUACGGGGGGCUGCAGUGGGGAAUUUUGGACAAUGGGGGCAACCCUGAUCCAGCCAUGCCGCGUGCGGGAAGAAGGCCUUCGGGUUGUAAACCGCUUUUAGCCGGGAAGAAAAGGCGAGGGAUAACACCCUUCGUUCUUGACGGUACCGGCGGAAUAAGCACCGGCUAACUACGUGCCAGCAGCCGCGGUAAUACGUAGGGUGCGAGCGUUGAUCGGAAUGACUGGGCGUGAAUCGUGCGCAGGCGGUUGAAGGCCCCGGGCUCAACCUGGGGAUGGCAUUGGAGACUGGCGGGCUUGAGUGUGGCAGAGGGGGGUGGAAUGCCGCGUGUAGCAGUGAAAUGCGUAGAGAUGCGGAGGAACACCGAUGGCGAAGGCAGCCCCCUGGGCUGACACUGACGCUCAGGCACGAAAGCGUGGGGAGCAAACAGGAUUAGAUACCCUAGUAGUC